rnacentral:rRNA from 1 species
GCACUUGCCUACAACAUACAGUUAAUGCACCAGAUCCCAUUAGAACUCCACAGUUAAGCGCACUCGGGCUGGAGUAGUACUAGGAUUGGUGACCAUAGAUGAUUUUAGGGGCAAAAUUU